UGCUGAUCGUUUCUUUCCUCUUCCAUGAAUUCUCUUUCCAUCUUUACAGAGCAUACGGUCCUCUUUGGGGACUCCAGCUGUGCCUGGAUUUAAAUUAUUAAACUGAAUUAAGUAUAACCAUCGGAGUUUGUAAAAAAUAAAAUUGUAUACAUGUUUCACAAAACAUUAAAUCACCUUUUGUUAAAAAAGAAAAAAGAAAAGAAAAAGAAGAAGAAAAAGAAAAAGAAAGAAAGAAAGAAAAAACACUUUGUUGUUGUUGUUUAGAUAAGAUUUUACUUAAGAUUUUACUUAAGUUACUCUGCUGUGGACUAAGGCCAAGGUUGAGAGCUUCAGCUACUACUGUUAAAAACAGUGACAAUAGAUUUAGAAUUUCCCACCAUAAUGCACUAUACUGGUGUUUUAAUAAAAUUACCAGUAUUUUAUCUCAUGAACAAUUGAUCGUUCUGAUCCACAUAACAAAUAAUGCAUCCUUAUCAUAAUUAAUACAAAAGCCUCCCUGUAACUGAUGUCCUCUCUCAUGAACUCUCCAACGCACCUGUGUUAUGCAUGAGUUUGUUGAGAUUGUUGUAGCUUUCACUGGUGUGAAAUUGUUCUUUGGCAAAGUUUGCUGCAAAUUGCCCAAUGCAUUUACCAAUGCAGCUGGGUAACAGAUGGGUGUGGGAAAUUUAUAGCAACUAUUGUUCCCAUUAUUGAUCUGCCAUAGCUGUAACAUUAGUUUCAGUGUAAGACGCUAUUUUGCUUACAGUUUUAGCCAUCAAAAAUAAAAACCUAGCCAAAGAUUACUGAAACUAUAGAUAGCUGGACUACAGCUCCUGAAGACAUAUUGCACAGAUAAGAUACAACUGUCUAUGUAAAAUAAGAAAAUACCAGUAGUUAUCCCCGGGAUUUAGAAUUGCUAUAAAUAUCAAGGCAGUAUUUAGAUUACAGCUUCAACAGAGUCCCCAGCAACAUUAAUUCCCAGGGAUGUUAUCCCAGUUACCCUGUAAUUACAGAUUAAGUGCACAGAGUACAAAAUAUAGAGUUACAUAAUGAGUCUUUCAAGUGAUACUCUGCAAGUGAUCCGAGUGAAAGUUUAAACAAAUUCUUUAUACACAACUUCACAUUAGACGUGAAGUCCAAAAUUCUCUCACUGAAAUUUCUGUUUUUGAAUUUGAAUAGCAAUGUGAGUAAACACUGAGUAAACUAAACUGAAGCCCUCUCUAAAUCUGUAUCUUUUGAGAGUUUAAAUGUGCUAAGCAACACAUAUUUAGUUGUUCAGAGUGUUUACUGCUGGUUUUCCCUGUUCUUACUAAUGUUGUUUGUUACAUUCAUGUCUUUCAACUUUUCUGACUAGACUGAAAGGCCUCCCGAGUUAACACUUCUCAUUAAAUGCUGACGUACAGGAACACUGGGUCUUGACUUGGUCAGAAUUGGGACUUUUGGACACCACUGCAAUACAAACAUUAAAGUCAUAAUUGCCCAAAAGACAUAUAGAGACAAUGGGUAGUCUUUUCUAUAAUCAGUGCAUAUUGAAGUUUUGCCAUUUAUUUUAGGGAUACUCUAUAAUUUAUAUUUGUCCAUGAUCCAUCCAAAGUAGAAUGUUUUGAUUGAUCUGAUUCACAACAGGAUUAUACCACAAUUAUACUGGUGAAAUCAAUUUAAGACAACAACAAAAAGGUACAAUUCAGUGGCAAUUAAGGCCCAGAAGUAUGUUGUUACAAAUUCCUUAAUGUAUAAUGCCUAUCUCCUAUAUUUUUAGAAAAGUUAAUUAAACCAUCUUUGUUCAGUUUAAUGUUGAAACAAUGAAAAACUGGCACUAACUGAAUAUUGUGUUAUGCCAUAGAAAGAAGUUUUAUCUAUGCUGGGCUCUAUUGCUUUCAAAUAGUAAAGUGUCAAAUAUAGCAGUGAACAUAAAUGUAUUAUGGAACUAAGUUUUACAGUAUUACGCAAGUAGCAAUAGGAAACCUUUGUAACACCACAACCUGUUUUGUAUAUACUGUGUCCAGAAAUGGUUAGGAAUGUUUUAGAGUUAUUUUUAAACAUUUAAUUGUGACUUUUUGUUUGUAUUUCUCUUCCUUGGUUACCAUGGGUGAGCUCCUGAGUUCUGGCUGAGGAGCAGUUGGCAUGGUGUUUCGUAAGGAGAAGAAAAGACAAAAAGAUGAAGUUAAGGCACCUUUACUCUUCCCUGAUUUGGACUGCUUCACUCCUGGACAGUCUCCUUAGCACUGACUUCAAGCUAUGCUGCAGCCUCUUAGCCUAAAAGCUUGUUUUGACAGCUGAUGCCCUCACAUAAAUCAUGUGCUGGUCAAAACAAACAGAAAGGAAUGAAAACUGCAGCCAUGUCGUGUGAGGAUAGGGACAUCUGUGGAUCGUAGCCAUCAGUCCCUCACUCAGAAGCUGGCCAUGCUAAAGACAGACUUAAGCAUGAAGUUGUCAAGAAUGUGCUUAAAAUGAGCAUGGAAAUCUAUGCCCUCCCAGCCAUAUGCAACUGGUCUUCAGAGGAGAUUAGAUGGCUUCUGUUCCAUCCCAUACAGAAAUCAUUCUCUCUAUCACUCCCUAUUCAAUAUAGAAAGCAUUUUACUUUUGAUGGAUCACAGUCAUCAACAUGAUACUGUAAAAAAUGAAUAAGGUAUUUUAAAUACAGAAGAAUGUUAGACAUAUUCUUUUCAGAAGGCAAAUGAUCAUCUUAUUUUUCUUACUACUCUUUUUGCUGCAAUACUCCCCUUCACACACAAAUAUGCAGACCAUUCCUUUCCUAUGAGUUCUGUCAUCCCAUAAUAGUUUCCAUGAAGAAUGAAAUCAACUGGAGUGCAGUGGUGAGUUGUCUCUUAUUCAUGGGACUGCAAUAAAAAGGGGUGUGUUCAGCCACCACUGAAUACUGAAGACCUCCAUCUCCCUCUGGAACUGAAUGAAAUAGUUCAGCUCCAGACCUUCAGAGAAGGACUGGCCUAUGAAGGAUGUAUUAACUGGUCCCAAGUAAAGAAUGCUGCCUAGGGAAAAGGAAAGUAAGUCCAGGCAGGCCAUGGUGGAGCAAGUUGGAUAGAAGUUCCACACAUCCAAACAUCAUGUAGCUGCCCCAGCAUUUGUAUUGCUUUCCCAUGCACAGCAUAGACUAGCAAAUUCCAGUCAUGCUGACUGUAUAUACAGGCUUCUGGAGACAAGGAAAAAAACAUAAGUUAGUUCUCUUGUAACCAAAGGAUCAGAACUAUGAGUAUUGUGGGAGUAAUUUCUGAGACAAGAAAUGUAAAUAGAAAAUCAAUUAAGAAGACUGCAAGG
ensembl:lncRNA